UGAGGAACAUGACCUUCGGCGGGGGAUAGCCGGCCCAACGGCCGGGUAAUACCGCGUACGACCUUUCGGGGACAUCCCUGGAUGGUGAAAGCAGCAAUGCGCCGAUGGAGUGCCUCGCGGCCUAUCAGCUAGUUGGUGAGGUAACGGCUCACCAAGGCGACGACGGGUAGCUGGUCUGAGAGGAUGGCCAGCCACAUUGGGACUGAGACACGGCCCAGACUCCGUACGGGAGCAG
rnacentral:rRNA from 1 species